AUGAACGCUGGCGGCGUGCCUCAUACCUGCAAGUCGAGCGAACAGAUGAGGAGCCUGCUCCUCUGACGUUAGCGGCGGACGGGUGAGUAACACGUGGAUAACCUACCUAUAAGACUGGGAUAACUUCGGGAAACCGGAGCUAAUACCGGAUAAUAUAUUGAACCGCAUGGUUCAAUAGUGAAAGACGGUUUUGCUGUCACUUAUAGAUGGAUCCGCGCCGCAUUAGCUAGUUGGUAAGGUAACGGCUUACCAAGGCAACGAUGCGUAGCCGACCUGAGAGGGUGAUCGGCCACACUGGAACUGAGACACGGUCCAGACUCCUACGGGAGGCAGCAGUAGGGAAUCUUCCGCAAUGGGCGAAAGCCUGACGGAGCAACGCCGCGUGAGUGAUGAAGGUCUUCGGAUCGUAAAACUCUGUUAUUAGGGAAGAACAAAUGUGUAAGUAACUAUGCACGUCUUGACGGUACCUAAUCAGAAAGCCACGGCUAACUACGUG
rnacentral:rRNA from 1 species